GAUGAACGCUGGCGGCGUGCCUAAUACAUGCAAGUCGAGCGAACAGACGAGGAGCUUGCUCCUCUGACGUUAGCGGCGGACGGGUGAGUAACACGUGGAUAACCUACCUAUAAGACUGGGAUAACUUCGGGAAACCGGAGCUAAUACCGGAUAAUAUAUUGAACCGCAUGGUUCAAUAGUGAAAGACGGUUUUGCUGUCACUUAUAGAUGGAUCCGCGCCGCAUUAGCUAGUUGGUAAGGUAACGGCUUACCAAGGCAACGAUGCGUAGCCGACCUGAGAGGCUGGUCGGCCACACUGGAACUGGGACACGGUCCAGACUCCUACGGGAGGCAGCAGUAGGGAAUCUUCCGCAAUGGGCGAAAGCCUGACGGAGCAACGCCGCGUGUGUGAUGAAGGUCUUCGGAUCGUAAAACUCUGUUAUUAGGGAAGAACCAAUGUGUAUGUAACUAUGCACGUCUUGACGGUACCUAAACAAAAAGCCACGGCUAACUACGUG
rnacentral:rRNA from 1 species